rnacentral:rRNA from 1 species
UGGGGAAUUUUGGACAAUGGGCGAAANCCUGAUCCAGCAAUGCCGCGUGUGUGAAGAAGGCCUUCGGGUUGUAAAGCACUUUUGUCCGGAAAGAAAUCCUUGGCUCUAAUACAGUCGGGGGGAUGACGGUACCGGAAGAAUAAGCACCGGCUAACUACGUGCCAGCAGCCGCGGUAAUACGUAGGGUGCAAGCGUUAAUCGAAUUACUGGGGCGUAAAGCGUGCGCAGGCGGUUUCUUAAGUCUGCUGUGAAAUCCCCGGGCUCAACCUGGGAAUGGCAGUGAUACUGGGAGGCUAGAGUGUGUCAGAGGGGUGGUGGAAUUCCCCGGUGUAGCGGUGAAAUGCGUAGAGAUCGGGGAGGAACAUCAGUGGCGAGGCGGCCACCUGGGACAACACUGACGCUGAGGCACGAAAGCGUGGGGGAGCAAACAGGAUUAGAUNCCCUGGUAGUCCACGCCCUAAANGAUGCGAACUGGAUGUUGGUCUCAACUCGGAGAUCAGUGUCGAAGCUAACGCGUUAAGUUCGCCGCCUGGGGAGUACGGUCG